AGCGAACGCUGGCGGCAGGCUUAACACAUGCAAGUCGAGCGGGCGUAGCAAUACGUCAGCGGCAGACGGGUGAGUAACGCGUGGGAACAUACCUUUUGGUUCGGAACAACACAGGGAAACUUGUGCUAAUACCGGAUAAGCCCUUACGGGGAAAGAUUUAUCGCCGAAAGAUUGGCCCGCGUCUGAUUAGCUAGUUGGUGAGGUAACGGCUCACCAAGGCGACGAUCAGUAGCUGGUCUGAGAGGAUGAUCAGCCACAUUGGGACUGAGACACGGCCCAAACUCCUACGGGAGGCAGCAGUGGGGAAUAUUGGACAAUGGGCGCAAGCCUGAUCCAGCCAUGCCGCGUGAGUGAUGAAGGCCCUAGGGUUGUAAAGCUCUUUUGUGCGGGAAGAUAAUGACGG
rnacentral:rRNA from 1 species